rnacentral:rRNA from 1 species
ACGUAGUUAGCCGACACUUAUUCCUAGGCUACCGUCCUUGCUCGUCACCUAGAAAAGGGCUUUACGAUCCGAAAACCUUCUUCACCCACGCGGCGUCGCUGCCUCAGACUUGCGUCCAUUGGGCAAUAUUCCU